rnacentral:rRNA from 1 species
UACGGAGGGUGCAAACGUUGCUCGGAAUCAUUGGGCGUAAAGCGCACGUAGGCGGCUUUGCAAGUUGAAUGUGAAAGCCCUGGGCUCAACCCAGGAAGUGCAUCCAAAACUGCAAGGCUCGAGUUCCGAAGGGGGCCAGAGAAUUCCCGGUGUAGAGGUGAAAUUCGUAGAUAUCGGGAGGAAUACCAGUGGCGAAGGCGCUGGCCUGGUCGGAUACUGACGCUGAGGUGCGAUAGCGUGGGGAGCAAACAGG